rnacentral:rRNA from 1 species
AUGGCCGCGGGUCAGCAGGCGCUUCCGUGGUACUCGGCAUCGGGGGCCAUCACCGGACUUCAUCCAGCCAUGGCUGCGGGUCAGCAGGCGCUUCCGUGGUACUCGGCAUCGGGGGCCGUCACCGGAGGCUACCCGGCGCUCCCCGCCCCAGCGGCCGCACAGCCGCCUUGGGCGCAGUGGCCGCCGCAGAUCGCGCCGGCAGCCCCGCCACUUCUCGCCACCACGGGGCCGCAGUGGCCCACAUGGACCGCGCCGGCCGCGCCGUCCUCCGUCGCGCCCUACCUUCCAGCGGCCUCAGAGCAGGGUCCUCCACCGGCCCUGCCCAGCCCUAACCUGGGCACCGGCGCCUCGGAGCAGGGCCAGACCCAGCAGCUUCUUCCGGCGUCACCGCCGGCCCCCACGCCGCAGGUGCCGGUGCAGCUCCACCAGGCGCCGCCGCCAUCGACAGUACCACCACCCGCGCCUAGGGCUAUGGGUCGGCCCCUGCACCAGGUGCAGUUUCCACCGUCACCAUCGCCGAUCCCUGCUUGGGCGACCGGCUCGUCUUCGGGGCCGGUCUACUCCACGGCGCCGGAACACCCGACGCCCUCCCUGCGGUUUGAUCACCCCUCCAGCUCGGCGAACUACGCCCCGGCGCUUCCCGACCCAGCAUACGCGCCGACGGCAACUACGGCCGCCCCCGGGCACGGCGGGCCGACACCCCCUCGCUUCGCCAAACUGGACUUCGCCACCUACGAGGGCACGGAGGACCCCCUCAACUGGCUCAACCAGUGCGAGCAGUUCUUUCGAGGGCAGCGGACGCUCGCUUCGGAUCGCACCUGGCUCGCGUCCUAUCAUCUUCGAGGCGCAGCGCAGACCUGGUACUACGCCCUCGAGCAGGACGAGGGCGGCAUGCCACCAUGA